GGAGGGAGUAUCCGCAUCUCUUUGAGUCGACGAGUCAAGGUAUGCGUAAUUUCUCGGACGAAAUUAUUUUAAGGGGUGGAGAAUGUAAUAUACCGAAAAUUCGAAAAAUAAAUAUCGAACUUUAGUCAAAUUGACCAAAGUGCGAGGUUGGAGCACUUCGAAAAGUUCGAAGGUGUUAAAAUGAUCAAAAGUGAGUUACGGGAGGUUUUCGAGAGCUAAAAUUGUGAAAUCUG
rnacentral:lncRNA from 1 species